rnacentral:tRNA from 5 species
GCCGGUGUAGCUCAACUGGUAGAGCAACUGACUUGUAAUCAGUAGGUUGGGGGUUCAAGUCCUCUUGCCGGCAC